ensembl:misc_RNA Metazoa_SRP Metazoan signal recognition particle RNA
GCUGGACAAGGUGACGUGUGCCUGUAGUCCCAGCUACUCGGGAGGCUGAGGUGGGAGGAUUGCUUGAGCCCAGGAGUUCUGGGCUGUAGUGUGCUAUGCACUAAGUUCGGCAUCAAUAUGGUGACCUCCUGGGACCACCAGGUUGCCUAAGGAGGGGUGAACUGGUCCAGGUCAGAAAGAGAGCAGGUCAAAACUCCCGUGCUGAUCAGUAGUGGGAUCGUGCCUGUGAAUAGCCACUGCACUUCCAGCCUGGGCAACAUAGCGACACCCCUGUCUCUU